rnacentral:rRNA from 1 species
GGGUCAGUAGGUUGGUCGUGCCACCGGUACGUACUGGUCUCACUGAUUCCUCCUUCCUGAAGAACCGUAAUGCCAUUAAUGUGGUGUUGCGGGGAAACAGGACUGUUACUUUGAAAAAAUUAGAGUGUUUAAAGCAAGCUAACGCUUGAAUACAUUAGCAUGGAAUAAUGAAAUAGGGCGAUCGAUCCUAUUUUGUUGGUUUCUAGGAUUGACGUA